UGGGGAAUAUUGGACAAUGGGCGCAAGCCUGAUCCAGCAAUGCCGCGUGAGUGAAGAAGGCCUUAGGGUUGUAAAGCUCUUUCGGCGGGGACGCUGAUGACGGUACCCGCAGAAGAAGCCCCGGCUAACUCCGUGCCAGCAGCCGCGGUAAUACAGAGGGUGCGAGCGUUAAUCGGAAUUACUGGGCGUAAAGCGCGCGUAGGCGGCUUUGCAAGUCGGGUGUGAAAUCCCCAGGCUUAACCUGGGAACUGCAUUCGAGACUGCAUUGCUAGAGUAUGGGAGAGGGAAGUGGAAUUUCCGGUGUAGCGGUGAAAUGCGUAGAUAUCGGAAGGAACAUCAGUGGCGAAAGCGACUUCCUGGACCAAUACUGACGCUCAUGUGCGAAAGCGUGGGGAGCAAA
rnacentral:rRNA from 1 species